rnacentral:misc_RNA from 1 species
UUUCCGUAGGUGAACCUGCGGAAGGAUCAUUAUUGAAUAAACCUGAUGUGGCUGUUAGCUGGCUUUUCGAAGCAUGUGCUCGUCCGUCAUCUUUAUCCCUCCACCUGUGCACAUUUUGUAGUCUUGAAUACCUCUCGAGGCAACUCGGAUUUUAGGGUCGCUGUGCUGUACAAGUCGGCUUUCCUUUCAUUUCCAAGACUAUGUUUUUAUAUACACCAAAGUAUGUUUAAAGAAUGUCAUCAAUAGGAACUUGUUUCCUAUAUAAUUAUACAACUUUCAGCAACGGAUCUCUUGGCUCUC